UUAGGGUUUAGAGUUAAAAGGUGGGGUUUAGGAUUUAGGGUUUAGAGUUUAGGAUUUAGGGUUUAGAUUUUAGGGUUUAGGGUUUAGGGUUUAGGGUUUAGAGUUUAGGGUUUAUGGUUUAGGGUUUAGAGUUUAGGGUUUAGGGUUUACAGUUGAGAAAUGAGGUUUUGGGGAUAAGAUUUCAAAUUUUGAAAAAUAAAAAAAUUAAAAUUUUCAAAGGAUAAACUUAGAAAUGUGUUAUUUUGGUCAUUUUAGUUUUUGAGUGAUAUUUUUGUGAUAUAAACUUAGAAAU
rnacentral:lncRNA from 1 species